CAAAUAACAACGUAUCUCAAGCAAUGUUUGAUGUCUUUCCUAUAUGGACUUCCUCAGGCCUACCAAAGUUUCUGCAGCGAAAUUGUACGUUUUACGAAAUCGUCGUCUUGAUCCUGAGAUCAUCGUGAACUAUCGGAGUAUAAUGCGAUCCAAGAGUUGAACAACGCGCAUUUUAUUUGUCACAAAUUUUAAGCUAACGGAACAAAAAACGCGAUGUUGGAUCAAAGUAACUGAUUUACCCAGAGGAAGUUGAUUUCGACUAUGGCGCUAGGCGGCCAGCUAGACGCUGCGCCCAUUCGAACACGAAGCUGUGGCGGUACAUUUUGCGAGUAGCAAUGUAACUCAAGCGAUGUUCUAUACCUUUUUCGACUUCGCCAGAUCUGUCCAAGUUUCUUCCAAGUGAUACCUUGCGAAAUUCGUGCUGCGAUAUUGAUCCUAAGGCCCGGAACAAUCGAAGUACCGCGAGAUCCGUAAGGUCAGGCAAAAGGACGCGAUGUCACAUUAAAGCACCUCAUUCAGCCAGAGCAAACACAUCUUAACCAUCUGGCAGACGUUACAGAAUUGAAAGAGUUUGCAGAACUGAUAGACGUAACUGGACGUUCUAUGAAAUAGCACACAAAGGAUAUAAUUUGGACAUAACAAAAUUAUCAUGAAGCAUUACUCUUACUCAAGGUCUAGAUCAACUAACUUUUUCGUCAGACUCAACCGUCCCAUCCUUCACACACGACACGACGAAGAUGACACACUAGCGCACUAUUCACGCUCUAGCCGAUAGUGCUGCCAUCAGCCGUAGUCAAUCCACAACCGUACAUAUCAGUAGCUGCGACACCGCAUUCGCCGCAAGUCAUUCAAACGCUCUAACAAUUUUUAUUACAUAUACUUUUUUAUUAAUUGUUUCAUUAUAAAUUAAUCUCAAUUUUAUUAUGUGGCCAGAACAGAUAUUUAUUAUGACAAGAACUGGUGGCCAAAAACGGUGAAAUCAGAAAUUAUGACAUAAGUAUUAUUUUUUAAAAUAUGUUUAAUUUAUUUUGCUUAAAUUUAUUAUUCUUAAAUUUAUCUUAAAUUUAUUAUUUAAAGAUUCUUAAUAAUAUAUUAAAAUAAUUAAAGACAUUAGAUAACGAAGGAAAUUUAAUUAAAACGCGUUUAUUUCGUCGAAACUCCUUAAAGUGGCCACAAAUAGAGCAUCGACCCUAUUUUGAUUUGCGAUUAUUAUUACGUUCUUAGGAAUAAUGCGAACGUUGUUAAAUACGUGCGUAUAUUUCGUUAGAGGACUUCGUUAGAGGACUUCGCAGUAUUGCGGAGUUGUUUUCGCAUGAACUUGCGGAGCAGACUUCACGCAUAUAUUGCGUGAUAAUUUUACGCUACUCAUCAAUUAUUUAGCUCGUUUACGAUAUCGUUAGAUUUGUGUUGUGAAUAUAUUUCGGUGUUAUAAAAUGGUAUUAUAUGCCUUUACGAGAAAUUCGAUCAAAUUACUGUUAAAUUUGAGAUACAUAUGUGCUUAUAGUUCAUUUAAAAAUUUAAGUUCUCGUGCAAUGAGAACUCAGUUUUUUGUUCACGAAAUGGAAAAACUUCUAUAUCUCUCGCGUCUUUUUGAAAACGCGGUCUUUGGUUCGCGAUUUCAGUAUACGCGUCGCGCGAGUUUUCUUUAAAUGAAAGUGCUACGAAAGGGUACGAAGAAAAGCUGAACGAGGUUAAACCUGCGAGGAUGCAAGAAUUCGUCGAGGGAAACAGGAUCGACGGAUUUCAUCGCUUAUCGGUGAGCGAACGCACAAAAACAAUUUCAUGAUAGUAAAAUUUCUUUUGUACAGCUUCUUAGUAGUGCAUGUGUAGAUGUAGGUCGCAUUGAUUUUUUACGAAAAAAAAAUAAGAGUGAUUUCACCUUUAUUUUUACGCAAAUAUUUGGAUGACAUUCUCGCGAUAUGAUUUAAAUAAAGUGUGUCUUGUAAUGUAUUCUUAUAAUUUAAUUUAAUUUAAUCGUUGACUGCGUGUAACAUUUUU